rnacentral:rRNA from 1 species
UGCAUGGUUGUCGUCAGCUCGUGUCGUGAGAUGUUGGGUUAAGUCCCGCAACGAGCGCAACCCUUAAGCUUAGUUGCCAUCAUUAAGUUGGGCACUCUAAGUUGACUGCCGGUGACAAACCGGAGGAAGGUGGGGAUGACGUCAAAUCAUCAUGCCCCUUAUGAUUUGGGCUACACACGUGCUACAAUGGACAAUACAAAGGGCAGCGAAACCGCGAGGUCAAGCAAAUCCCAUAAAGUUGUUCUCAGUUCGGAUUGUAGUCUGCAACUCGACUACAUGAAGCUGGAAUCGCUAGUAAUCGUAGAUCAGCAUGCUACGGUGAAUACGUUCCCGGGUCUUGUACACACCGCCCGUCACACCACGAGAGUUUGUAACACCCGAAGCCGGUGGAGUAACCUUUUAGGAGCUAGCCGUCGAAGGUGGGACAAAUGAUUGGGGUGAAGUCGUAACAAGGUAGCCGUAUCGGAAGGUGCGGCUGGAUCACCUCCUUUCUA